CAUGUUGCAUUAGGGGCUCCUUAUCUGAAAGGCCCGGGGAGUUCUAGCCGCCCACUGGAAAUUUGCCCACCGCCAUGUUUGAAAGGCCCAGGGAGUUCUCAUGGAGACUCCCAACAUUCAGAAUAGACAGCAGUUUCAGAGUGUCAGCUUGAGAUAUCAGCUUGGAGUGGGCCAUGUGCUAUCAUCAUGGACAGGAGAAGUUGUACUCUGCUGAAGCCUGGGGAUGGAGAUUCAGAGGUUUAUUGCUGUGGUGAUUUUCCUGGGCAAGGCUCGUGAUGAAAACUGAUCAGGUGAUGGGAUCAGGGUGCCCACAAUGUCCAGUCUCAGGGCAUGCCUCCUUUUAGGGAUCUCAAAUGAGGGGUUGCUUUACUCCAUGGUCUGGCAUGUUUGAUGAGCUCCUGAUCCUGGAUUUCCAAUAUGUGUUUGAUAAGCUUGUGCAUCCGCGUGCUUCAGAUUAAUUCAGCCAAGAUUUUGGAACUCAAACAGAAAUAGAGCCUACCAUCCCACACCGUAAUCCGAACGGAUGAAGACAGCAAGAAGCAAAGUACACGGUUGACAGGCCUUGGAAUCUGGCAGAGGUGCCUCUGCAUGUAAUGCUGUGUUGGUUUUCUGAGUGCAGUGGCUUGAAAGCUGGGCUUCCUGUGAUGCCUUCUGGGGAGAAAGGAUGCUACUUGAACUUUCAGGGGCAUCUGGGAAGAAAUGUACCUUGGGAGCCAGGCCAGCACUCCAUGAGGAACAGGCAACAACUGCAUCCUGAGCCUGUUUAUCAACUGCAUCUACAGGUGUUUCCAUACAGAACCCAAUUCUGUGCCCCAGUGUGGGGCACAAGAGUAAGGGCAGCCCAGGCGGACCAGGUCAGAGGCCUGGGGAAGCUCAGAGACCCCAGGCCUCCAUCACACGAAUGUACUGCAUUUCUGUCAUUAAGGCACAUUCUGAUUCCUUAAUUUAUUUGGCCAUUCUGCAUAGAACUUCUUGUGUAAUUGCAUGCUGUAUUUAGACAUGUUUUCAAGAUAUAUUUUCUAAGCAAUUUAAAAUUCUUAGGUUCAUAUUGAA